rnacentral:rRNA from 1 species
AGAGAUAGAGUUUUCCCCUUCGGGGGACAGAGUGACAGGUGGUGCAUGGUUGUCGUCAGCUCGUGUCGUGAGAUGUUGGGUUAAGUCCCGCAACGAGCGCAACCCUUAAGUUUAGUUGCCAUCAUUAAGUUGGGCACUUUAAGUUGACUGCCGGUGACAAACCGGAGGAAGGUGGGGAUGACGUCAAAUCAUCAUGCCCCUUAUGAUUUGGGCUACACACGUGCUACAAUGGACAAUACAAAGGGUAGCGAAACCGCGAGGUCAAGCAAAUCC